AAUCAACGCUGGCGGCGUGCCUCAGACAUGCAAGUCGAACGCGAAAUUUCCCUUCGGGGAGAAAGUAGAGUGGCGCACGGGUGAGUAACACGUAGGUAAUUUGCCUUUGGGUGGGGAAUAACUCAGGGAAACUUGAGCUAAUACCGCAUAAUGCAGCGGCUCGACAUCGAGACAGUUGUUAAAGCGGGGGAUUGGAGCAAUCCGACCUCGCGCCUAAAGAGAAGCCUGCGGCAGAUUAGCUAGUUGGUAAGGUAAUGGCUUACCAAGGCGACGAUCUGUAACCGGCCUGAGAGGGCGGUCGGUCACACUGACACUGACAUACGGGCCAGACUCCUACGGGAGGCAGCAGUCGGGAAUUUUGGGCAAUGGGCGCAAGCCUGACCCAGCAACGCCGCGUGAAGGAUGAAAUUUUUCGGAAUGUAAACUUCGCAAGAACAGGAAGAAU
rnacentral:rRNA from 1 species